CGUCGCUCUCGUCCCCUCUUCUCCUCUCGAUGGCGUCCCGAUGCCAGCUCCAGAGAUUAGGCAGCGGCCUUUUCCCCUCUUUUGUCCUCCAGCUACGGCCAGGGUUGGCGCCGCCACCCCACAUCCCAGCUCCUGCGACGCUGCCCACCGGCCGCCUCCACCCUAUCUUCUCGCCUCUUCCCACUCCACUCCUAUUCCCGGCGGUAGCGACAGAGAGAUGGACGAAGAGGCGAGCCAUCCGCGAGGCCAUUGAAACGCCCUUGCUCUUGGGGCGGAGAAGAACUAGGAGGCGGAGCAGUCCACGGCGUCGUCGCUGCCGUCCCCGCCUGCGAGCCGUCUGUGACACCUUCGCCUAGCUCCUCGUCGCGCGGGAUGCAGAGAUGGGCGAGGACGCCGGUGGGAAGCAGCAGCAGUUCGUCAACAGGCAGAAUUAAAGAUAGAGGGGGGCGAGGGACGUGGGCCAACGAGGUGGCACGGCGACGGCGACGACAGCAACCUUUUUCUAAAAUCUGUUUCCGCUUGAGGUUACGACAGCGGUUUCCUGCUGUCUCCGGACGUCUGCGGGGAAGGUAACAUAUGGUCGCCAUGCUGCCCGCCUUGAGUGGAGACGCCACCCCAGCCACGAGCACCGGUGCUGCCGAGAAGCUCGUCCAUGGCCGCGGGCCUGUCACUGUCGGAAAUUGCAAGAAGAAAGCCCCGAGGAAGAUCCACAAAGCCAAGAGGGACAAGCAUGAGUGUGACCUGCUCACUAAUCUUUUCAGUGAACUUGGCGAAAUCACUAACCUCGACACCUCGUAGAUUAUGUCAGGAAAAGAAUUAUAUGAGACCUGGUCUCAUAUAAAAAAAAUUCAUUAUGUCACAGCCAGCGUUGCUUCAGUUACCCUGUCUCUGAAUUUUGGGGGCCGUUUCCUUUUCCAUGUGGUUAUUUGGAAUGUUAGAGCUAAGUGUGCGUAUGUGUGAAUCUGCAUCAUGUUGUUACCAUCCAUUUCCAUGUGAUGCUUUUGGGGUGAAUACUGGGUUUCAGUAUGUGUCAUGGAUUUCCCUUAGUAGAUCCCAGUGAAUGUUUAUGCUGAUGAAAACGUGUAUGAACUCAUUCAAAAUUAGUAACACAUGUCAGCAUAUAAAAUUGUGUACUACCUGCAUCCAUUAAUUUCAAUCUUUUUCCAAUCCAUCUGUCUCAGCCAUGCAUAUUACUCUUCCCAAGCGCGUCCAGAAAUCUGAUGUUUUCUUUUAUGGAAGUUCUCCUUUUUAUUUGACACUGCAGAUGUCUCCACUAAAUGGUUUGUUCGAUCGCAUGGGAUGUGCUAAUGGAGAUGGCGAGGAAGACAAGGAGAGAUGUGUGAUGAUUGCCUUUGGUCUCCCUUCUAAUUAGUACUCUUGUCAUCUACAUGGAAGGUCGCAAUGACUGCACCUAAAUUACUCCUUCUGGUUGACUAUAGGAGAUUUAUACCUGUUACUCAAGUAUGUCAUGAUGUAAUUUACUAUGAAUGGUAAUUUUGAGGACAUGUAAGUUGUUGUGCUCUCAUAACUGGGAUCAUCCAUCCGAUGCUCAUGUUGCUAUGAUAGUGUAGUCUAGGUAUACGUACUUGGUAAAUAUUGUUUUCCCAUGAAUUUUCUGUACUAGAUAAGAAAUGUUAGUUUGCAAUACAAGGCCAUUUGCUAUUUUAAGGGGAUUUGCUGUACUGGAUAAGCAAGUUCAGUAUGUACCAAUUUUCUAUUGUCAUUUUUUUCCUUUUGACUACUGUGGCUACAACGCUAAAUUCAGAAGCAAGUUCUGUACUGUCAUUUUUUCUUUAGAUCUCGUCUCAUAUAUUGGAGUGGGAUAACUUUGCAAUUACUCAUGGACAGAUGAAGCUGUCAAGCACUUUUGCUUUUGCUUUUGUGAUUCCAUUUACUUCUUCAUAACAACACACUUUUACAAUGUUUUGUAAUACAUUCAGACAACUAGGCGUGAUGUCUUGUGAACCCUUUUCUGAUUCUUUUUGUUUUCCAUUUUGGGUACAUAAAAAAUAAAUAGUUUUUAGCACAAGAUCAUUAUUUAACUGGUUAGCAAAGGGCUUGAGCAGACAUGAAAGUAUAAGCAACAUGAUUUAGGCAGCUGUUUGACAGUAUCCGAGAUCCCGCAUUAAGGUCUGAUGCAGUGAUUUACAAAGUUGUCAUUUUUUCAGUUCGCAAAUGAUGGUAAACUGAUCGUUUCAUUGAUUGUUUGCCCACAUAAUGUUGAUUGGCUGAUGGCGACGCCCCCUGACCCCUCUUGCUCUGCUUGCUGAGUCUGGGCCUCCUCCUUGUUCAAGCUGGUCGUCUUCCACAAGGUGCAUCAAUGGCCUUGUCCCCUGUCUAGGAUGCAUCCACGACCUCGCACGGCGGUACUGGCGGAUAGGGAUGAGGAAGAUGAAAAGGACAUGGAGCUUGGGUCGUGCCUCCACUGGGGAGGUCACAACGGGGCUACCGCGUCCAUGCUUCAGCAUUCAAUUCAAAGGCAUGGUAUGGAGUUACAGGAAAAGUUGGUCUAGAUUUUGAAAAGUGGUACGUGACCAACGUGGAUGCAAGUUUAAAGUGUCGAGAAAGGAAAGUAUAAGGUACCGCCGCAAGCUUUCUCUUUUUAAAUCUUUUUUUGUCAGACUUGUUAAUCUAGAAAGGACUCGUAUCAUUCUCUUCUAUGACAUUGCUCAACCAAUUAUCAAAAUUGAAUGUGAUUUAGAAGCCGAUUCUUUCUUUUAGUGUAUGAUACUAAUUUAGAGUCCCGUCUUCGAGGUGCUACCGUCUUGCGGUGCCGUUGUUGGCAUGUCUCCACCAUCCUUUACCCGUGCGUCUCCUUCAACUGGAAAGAUGUCCCCUUCUCUCUUUUGUCAAUUUGUUUGGAUAUGAUAACUCAUGAUGAGUAAGCUCUCCUACCUGUCCUCCAUGAUUGCUACCCUUACGUGCCCAUGCUUGCUAUUUUCUAAUUUGUACAUGCACAACAAGAAAGAAAAGAAGUCAAACCACAAAUAGGAAAGGACUGCCAGUGAUGCCCAGCUGUAAGUACCUUGCACACCAACAUACAAGUUUGAUAGUGCUAUUUCCAGUUCUUGGCUCUGAAUUACCGUAUAACGCUUCUCCACAACAAUAGCUAGAAAUCAUAUGGUUUGGACAGGUGUGCUGUGUAAGAAAAUAUAGUUGUCCUAUGUUAUCUUUGUCAUGCAACCAAGUUAUCAUACAAGUUUUUUCAUCUGCUUACGUCCUCCAACGCGUGCUUGUAUCAUGCCUAUGGCCUAUGGCAGUAAUUAAUGCUUUCGGUCUAGCUUGUUAGGACAAUGAAACAACAUUUAGAGUUCGCUAUGGGUUCUAAUUAUGAGAUCAUGACCGAUUUCUGAAGCAACUGAGUUAAUUGUUUGACAUGUUGUUGAGUGAAUUCAGUUAUUUCGACAUGAUAAUAUGUGUUGAUUGAAGGUGUAUUAAUCAGAAAAGAACAACAGUGAUGCCACCAAGCAUAGAUCUAGCCACUAUGUAAACAUGGCAGGGAAGUUUUCUACCUAAAUACUAUGCAUCGCCCUAGAUGCGUCACCGUUGGCAUCCAGUACCACCUAUACAUAUAACCCAUUUAUCGUGCUUACUAUCUUUGUAGGACCUGCCUUACGAUGAUCCAACAAACUAACUCUGCCUCUGCUGUUGGAGAUCGCCCGCCUUUUGGAGACUACAAAUCUUGAUCUCAAUAGCUUGUCGUGUUUCGGUGAUCGGUCAUUCACCUUAUAAGACCGACUCUUCUCUAUUAAUAUGAAACUUUUAGCAUCUAUGAAGGUACUAUACCUGGUCCGUUGUAUGAACGAAUACUUUUCUGCUGCAACUGUGUCCCAUGCAUCAUAUUUUUCA